UACAGAGGUCUCAAGCGUUGUUCGGAUUCAUUGGGCGCAAAGGGUGCGUAGGCGGCGCGGUAAGUCGGGUGUGAAAUCUCGGAGCUUAACUCCGAAACUGCAUUCGAUACUACCGUGCUUGAGGACUGGAGAGGAGACUGGAAUUUACGGUGUAGCGGUGAAAUGCGUAGAUAUCGUAAGGAAGACCAGUGGCGAAGGCGGGUCUCUGGACAGUUCCUGACGCUGAGGCACGGAAGGCCCAGGGGAGCAAAACGGG
rnacentral:rRNA from 1 species